GAUGAACGCUAGCGGCAGGCCUAAUACAUGCAAGUCGAGGGGUAUCCCGCUUUCGGGCGGGAGAGACCGGCGCACGGGUGCGUAACGCGUAUGCAACCUACCCAUAUCUGGGGGAUAGCCCGGAGAAAUCCGGAUUAACACCGCAUAAAAUCACAGUACGGCAUCGUACAAUGAUCAAAUAUUGAUAGGAUAUGGAUGGGCAUGCGUGUCAUUAGCUGGUUGGCGGGGUAACGGCCCACCAAGGCGACGAUGACUAGGGGAUCUGAGAGGAUGGCCCCCCACCCUGGUACUGAGACACGGACCAGACUCCUACGGGAGGCGGCAGUAAGGAAUAUUGGUCAAUGGGCGGAAGCCUGAACCAGCCAUGCCGCGUGCAGGAAGACGGCCCCCUGGGUUGUAAACUGCUUUUAUUCGGGAAUAAACCUGCAUACGUGUAUGCAGCUGAACGUACCGAAGGAAUAAGGAUCGGCUAACUCCGUGCCAGCCGCCGCGGUAA
rnacentral:rRNA from 1 species